UUCUUGGUUUACCAAAUGCUUCUAUUUCGUACGGAAUCGUUAGUCUCUUCAUCGGAGGUGGACAUUUGCUGGGACCACCUAUUGCAAGUUUCUUCUAUAAAGGAAGUGGGAUAUAUGAAUAUACCUACGUAUUUUCAGGUCUAUGUUCUGUCCUGAGUUCAAUAUCAGUUGCAUCCACAAGUGCAUUUAGAAGUAGGCGGCUAGACGAUUAAA